CUGCCAAGUAUAUAUAUACAAGGCAGAUCACAUCACACAUAUAACAUGUAAUAAAAACUAUGAAAGUUUGCCAAACCAAACUCAUUCUGCCCAAACUAUGAUGCUCUUAGUCUCUUUGCUUCUUCGAUCUCAAGAUAUUGGGGUAAGAAUUGUGGUGAUGGAGAGAAGUGUGAGCUACAUGAUGAAAGGGCACAAAUUACCAAGGUAUUGGCGCGCCUCAAUUUGAAGACAUGGUUAACAUGAAAUUACUAACCAUGUCAUUUGAUUGAGCCGCGUCAAUAUCUCGCUCAUGAUCUACUUCUUUUCAUCUCCAUGUACCCUUCUAAAUCUCAAAUUUCAGUGAAGGAUACUCAUGAUGCUUAAGCAUUAGAAGAAUCUACUUGAGAAUAAUGUUAAGGAUCGGUUACAGGAAAGGGGUCAUGGGCAGACUAGUAGCUCUUAAAGGUUCAAACUCAAGUGGGGGCUUUCUCUAGUUUGCAUUAAAUUCCAUACCAAAAUAGCAUGCAUCUACCCAGGCUCUUUCAAUGGUGAUGUUUCUCUCUAAAUGAUUUGUGGUAAAUAUUUUAAAACACAUGCACUAGCAUUGUGAUCUUUAUGCUCCUUCUGUCCCUUUUUGUAAAAAUAUGUACUAAAAAUUAAGGGUAAUAAGAAAAGUUGUUUGGAACUAUAAAUUUAUCUAAAAUGUGUGUGAGUAUUUUUAAAAGGGAAAUGUUAACUUGAACCUUUAGGGCACAUGUUAAGAAUUCUAUUAAUAGAAAUUAUGUCUCGGAGAUUGUGUUAAUUUAUUGUUUAAAAAAUCUAAUAUUAAUUUUUUCAAUUAAUACUUGCCAUUAGUGGCAAUAAUUGAAUGCUUAACAUGUGCCCUAAAGGCACAAGUUAACAUGACGCUUUUUAAAAAUACAAUUUGUAUAUAAAUGCAUUCAAUGUUACCUUUCUUAUUCUUCCAAGAUAAAUUGAUACUUCCUUUGGUUCCUUUUAUAAGAGAUAAAUGAGUGCCCGUGAGCAUAGUUCAGUUGGCAGGAACAUGUAUUAUUAUAUGUAGGGACUAAAUACAUCAACUUUUGUUGAUUUAUUUGUUUUUUAUAACAAAAAAAAAAAAAAAUGACCGCAUGGAGUAGUAUGUUUAAAAGGAAUAUUUAGUGACAAAAAUAUAUUUAUAAAUGGUCUUAUAAUUAAGGAUAGAGAGUAUACGUAAACCAAUGAGUUAAUUUGAAUAUUACUCUAAAAGCUAGUUUAAAGGAUACCAAAAUAUCAUGUGUCUGCCCAGGCUCUUUGAAUGAUGAUGUUUUUCAACAAAUGAAUUGCGGUAAAUAUCUUAAAAUGCAAGCACUAGCAUUGUGAUCGAUCUUUAUACUCCUUCCGUCCCUUUUGUAAAAAAUAUAUAAUAAAAGUUAAGGGUAAUAAUUAAAGUUGUUGGAGCGAUAAAUUUAUCUAAAAUGUGUGAGUAUUUCUAAAAUGCAUUUAAUAUUACUUUUCAUAUUCUUUCAAGAUAAAUUGAUAUUUCCUCGUGUUCUUUUUAUAAGAAUUAAAUGAGUGAAUAAAAAUUGAUGUAUGUGGUUCAUAAUAUAGAUCAAAUACAUUAACUUUUAUUAACUCAUUUGUCUUUUUUAAAAAAUGAGUAAUGUUUUUGUUUGAAAGGUAUAUUUGAAAAAAAAGUAAAUACAUAUAAAAAUUUGAAUGAGUUUGAAUAUUACUCUAAAAUCUAGUUUAAAUGAUUCUCGUUCUUUAUAUGAGUGGAUGAAUAUACAUGUCCUAUGCUGGGUUUGAUAGCCCUUCAUGGAGGGCACUUGGCGAGAUUUGUCUGUGUUUGUUGGUGAAGGGAAAUCAAGAGCAAACAAUACAUACAAUCGUGACGGAAUUCAAAAAAAUUCACAUUCGAUUUAUCACUAUGAAGGAUCGUGAACCAAUGAUCGGAUGAUUACCUUUUGUAGCAUGGUAUCGUUCAAAAUCCUUUCACUCACGGUGCUAGUUGGGCCGAAUGGAAGUUAAGAGAGAGUGUGUGUGAUUUCAGAAUGCGGCUGCUAGAGUAUCUGAAAAAUGGAUUGUGUUAUUUGCUUCGGUACAAGAGUUCUAUUUAUAAAGACACUUGUAUACAUUGUAUCUUGCGGUGUAUCACCUUUCUCAUUUAAACGCAUGGUACCUUAUUGAUGA